GCAUCGGUAAAAUCCCUAUCAAUAAAUAAUAGGCCGGAAUGGUGGGGAAGGAGGCCCCCCCUACUUCAAUGGAAAGGGGGGAAUCGCCGUUUCACAGCCGUUCCUCUACAACUACCUUUCGCCCAACAUGAUCACAAACGAAGACAGAGAAUUGCGUAGAUAGGAGGACGAAACGCCCACUUGUCCUGAUCGGAACGAUUGAAGAAAGAAAGAGAAUGGUGGCCCCUUUCGCCCAGGGGACAUCGUCGGA
rnacentral:misc_RNA from 1 species